rnacentral:rRNA from 1 species
UACGAAGGGGGCUAGCGUUGCUCGGAAUCACUGGGCGUAAAGGGUGCGUAGGCGGGUCUUUUAAGUCAGGGGUGAAAUCCUGGAGCUCAACUCCAGAACUGCCUUUAUACUGAAGAUCUUGAGUUCGGGAGAGGUGAGUGAAACUGCGAGUGUAGAGGUGAAAUUCGUAGACAUUCGCAAGAACACCAGUGGCGAAGGCGGCUCACUGGCCCGAUACUGACGCUGAGGCACGAAAGCGUGGGGAG